UUCUAAUAUGCAAGCGGACAUUUGAUAAAAUUGGAAAGAUAUAGAGAAAAUUGACAAUAUGGCCCCUGUGCAAGAAUGACAUCCAUCAUAGAAGGGGUAAUUGUUUUC